rnacentral:rRNA from 1 species
AUUCCAGCUCCAAUAGCGUAUAUUAAAGUUGUUGCAGUUAAAAAGCUCGUAGUUGGAGUUCAGAGUGAGCUCAAUCGGUCGGGAUUACGUCUCAGAACUGGUUGACUCUCUCUUGUUUGUGGAUCCUGUUCGGAGUUAACUCUUCGGAUGUGGAGUCCACAUCGUUUACCUUGAAAAAAUUAGAGUGUUCAAAGCAGGCGUUUGCUUGAAUAUAUUAGCAUGGAAUAAUGGAAUAGGACGCUGGUCCUAUUUUGUUGGUUUUGAGAACCAGAGUAAUGAUUAAUAGGGACAGUUGGGGGCAUUCAUAUCUCAUUGUCAGAGGUGAAAUUCUUGGAUUUAUGAAAGAUGAACUUCUGCGAAAGCAUUUGCCAAGGAUGUUUUCAUUA